AGGGUGACGCCACAACAUCGCAAGCACCAGGUUGUACACAUUAGGAAUCGGUCUAUAGAUGUCCUUGAAGUACAUGUUCAGCAAGUCCUGUUCAGCAAAUGGAGUGGGAGGUGUGAUCUUGAGGGUUUCGAGCAAAUCAUGGUAAGUGUCAAGGUUCGGCUCGUACACGAACAUGCCAGCGUUGAAGUAGAGAGGCGGCUUUAGGCCGACAUGGUCGGGCCAUUGGACCUUGUCGGGGCACUGCUGGCAGUACCCAAUUUCGUACUGAGGGGUGUGACUCCAUGUCUUCUCGCAAAAGCAAUCCAUGACGGCGUAGAAGAAGCCGUUCUGGAGGUCGAAGAGGUGGUCAAUGUUGUCGAAGACUUGGAUGUCCCCAUCCAAGUAGAUCAUCUUGCUGUACUCCACAAACUGCAAUUCAAGAAGCCAGGUCAAUAACUCAAUAUAACCAGGUUGAUAGCACUUCUCAAUCCUAACUGUCUAAGAAGCAGACAAAACUUAAGAUACUAAGAAAUAUUUCAAAACUAAGCAUACCUGCCAAAUUCUGAGUUUGGAGUAGUUGAUCACAUAAUGAGCCAUGGCGAAUUGGGUCUGGUUCUCCGGUGGAUACACGGGCUUAAUCUCCCUCACGAUGCAGCCCUGGUCCACCAAGAUCUUCCGAUGAUCUGCUGGCACGUCCAGCAAGACCGCCACCACGAGUGGGUACUUGCUCUUCGCCUUCCUCAGUCCCUUGGCCAGCCCGACCACACCCUUAAUGUAAUCGCCAUUUCCGGCCAAAAAUGUCACGUAGGCACAGGUGGGUUGAUUCUCAGGCUGCGGCUUCACAACGCCAUUAGUGGCGGCAUCGGCAGCGGCCAUGAUGGGAGCCAUUUCUAUGGUGAGGAAAGGUUUGAGGUUUCAGUGAGUGGGAAUGCAGAAUGUUUGGCGGGUUUGAGAAGGGAUUUGCCAAUUGCUUGGCUGAGUUUGAGUUGAUGGAUUGGGCAAGAGGAGGGUGCAGGGUUUAUAUAUAGAUGGAGAAUUAAUUUUUUUUUUAAUAAGGAGACGAAAUUCAUGGAGAUAAUGCGGUGAUUUAUUUCCUAAAUUCCUAUGAUCGGGACAGGGGAUGGAAACUGCUUGAAUCUUGACAGUUUCAUACCGACAGACCAAAGAUCUUGUCUCCAAUGGGGGCGGAGCUAGGCCAUUUCUCCUGAAACGACGACGUCGUUUUGGAGCUCCACCGUUGGAUCGAAGUCCGCGUGGGUCAGUGGGAGUCGAUCGGACGGUCGGUAGUCAAGAUCUGGAGUUGGUGGACGGUGCUAGAAUAUGCGAAAGAGAGAGAUACCUCAUUUCUUUUUUUUUUUAGUCAAAAGAGAUACCUCAUGUUAGAAAUACCUGGAAAGUCAGUCUUUUCGUGGAUUUACUAAUAUAACCCUAGUGGCCGACUACGAAAUUACAAGACGGCCUUAGGGUAUUCGUGUAAUUUGAGGAAUAUCGGGAGGGCGAUCAUGUAACUAGAUAUUGUGGUGGGGGCGGUUUUCGAGGAUAAUGUUAUGCAGUUGCCCAAAAGUGGGAGUCAAAAGUCUGUUUGUCGCUCUCAUGGGAAAAGUGCUCUAGAAGGAUAACCUUAGCCAAAAAGACCAUAAAAUGUCAAGAACAGAUUGCGAAGGAUAAUGUAUUUUCAGAAAAUGACUACGUUGAUCGGAUAAAACCUACGUGUUCUAUAUGGUAGCUAUUCGUAAAUCCUAAAUGAGUUUGGUCUUGAUCACUGUUGUUGUGGAUUAUAAAAUGUACAUGUCGAUGUCAUAAAACAAACUUAGAAGAUCAUAGUCUUUAUAAACCUAAGGGCCACAGGCACGUUCUAGCAACUUAGAGGUCCACGGAACACGUCACAAAAAUGAUGAAAUUAAUUAAGUCUCGACCCUUGACUUGUGCAAACAAUCUUGAGCUAAAGCGAUUUGCAAGCAAUUGGUGAGAUCAAAACAAGUAACUUCUAAUUUGUGAGAUGAAGUCAUUGCCACAUCAAAUUUGGCAAUGCUAGCCCUAAUAUUUCAAAAUGUCAUUUAUCUUGGGUUGGUAAAAAAAAAAAAAAAACCUUUUUAAUAUUAGCCAUUCACCAAUAAACUUCAAAAAAGCUUGUGUUUUAUAUUAAGAGUGCGAUUGUUUUGUUGAAAACUUUAUGGUGAAGGAAAAUAUUUUUUAUGGAAAUGAUUUUCAAGAAAAACAAUUAGGGUGCAAUUGGUAACUGGCCAAACAAUGAAAAUUUAUAUUCUUUUGUUCCUGGAAGUAAAUUUGAAAUAGAAAUUCGUUUGGCAAAAUUUUUAUUCCCGAAAAUAAAUUUCUAUUUUUUUUCCUGAAAGUACAUUUGGAACUGAUUCAAGAAGUAAAAAAAGGUUAAUUCUUUAUUUCCGGGAACAAUUUCAAAAUCAAACCAACCUAUUUUUUCUUUUUUCUCUUCUUUCUUAUUAUUAUUCUUCCCUCUCUCUUGUUCUUUAGCCACCGUCGCAACCACCACCGCCACCAUUGUCGGCGACUAGUUGGGUGAGGUUCGGCGAGUUCGUCCAGCCACGGGCAAGGCUCAGUCAAGCCAUGGCUAGGCGAGGCUCAACCUUGCCCAAAUCUGGCGAGGUUGAGCUUGCCCGGCCGUCGAUGGGGCUCGACCUUGCCGGGCCACCAUGAGGUCGGUGUCGUCAGGCUAAAGCAAGGCCAACCUCGUGGCAUCUUGGCAAGUUCGAACCCCAUCGACGGUUAGGUGAGCUCAGCCGAGUCCAGCUACCGAUGAGAUCUCAGGCCCUCGUCUAGCUGGUCACUGAUCAUCUCAAGGUCGGUGACUAGUAAAGCUUGAAGAAGAAGAAGAAGAAGAAGAAGAAGAAGAAGAAGAAGAAGAGAAAAGAAAAGAAAAGAAGAAAGAAGAAAAAAGAGAAGAAAUACAAUUAUUAAAAAAAAUUAAAAAUGAUUUGGAUUAAAAUUUUCAAAACAAUACCAAACGCAAUUCUAUCCUAGGAAUAAAAAUUUUAGGCAGUUACCAAACGAUUUAAAAUGCUUAAAAAUUAUUCCCGAAAAUAGAAUAUAAAAAAAAUCAUUUCUGAUUAGAAAUUGUUAUGGGGAACAGAAUGGUUACUAAACGUGUCCUUAGUCUUCAUUUAUUUGGCGGUUUAAGAAAGUGAUUUCUUUCUUGUCAAAUGGAAUCAAAUCCUUUAGAACUAGAGAUUAUCUAACCAAAUAAUUCAUCUCAAGCCCCCACUUUCUUUAUACAUUUAUUUACUGUUGAUGACAUUCAUUAUUCCAAAAGACUAGAAAAAUUUGAAGAAUUUCAACUUGGCUAAAUACUCAAGCCUUCAUAAAUCAUGACAAGUAUGAUGUAAUUUAUAAUUUUGUCACAAGAUUUAUAAGCAGCCUCAAACAUUGGUGGCAAUCGGUUACUAAAUAAGAUCAAGUGCAAUUAAUGCUCUCGGCAAACUUUGGCUAGGCUAUUGCUCUCAUUUACCAUUUCUUCAUUGACAAACCUGUUGACCUCCAUGAGCUCAAAAGGAGAGAGUUCUUUGAAAGAAAAUGUUGUUCUCUAAAAAAAAAUGCAUCUCGACAAGCAUUAUCGAGAAAUGCUCAAACUUUUUUAUGGCCUUGGAGUUGAUGUAAAUCUAAAACAGGUUUUCCUACCUUCAAUUCCUAGAGAGCUAUCCCAGUAGAUUGAGAGAUCCUUUUUCAACAAGUAAAGGCGAAUUAUGGAUAUUCCCUUAUAUUCCCUUGGGAGAAAUAUAGUAAGAGAUCCAUCUGUGUCUUGAUGAUUUGUGUCUAAGGUGCCAGAUAAUGAAAACCUAUCUCCAAGACAACUAUGAACUUGAUGGAGCUUGUUCGCGCCAGAAUUUGAAGAUCAAAUAUUCGAAAAAGAAUUGUGAUGGCUCUUGUGGAAAGUACUCCAGAAAGAAGAAGUAUUUCAAGAAAUACAGAGGUGAAAUAUCCAAGCAUGGAUCUAAGCAUUUUCGAAGAAAGAAAAAAUUGCGAUUCCUGCGAAGAAUGAAAGAUCAUCCAAAUCGCAAAAAAUCAACCCGAUACUUCAUCUGCAACAAAAAUGGUCAUUUUGCCAAAAAUUAUUCCCAGGCGAAAAAAGGUAAGAACCAUUUGAUACAUCACAUUGAAGUUGAAACUGGAGUUUCUCUUGAAAAUGAUGAUGUUGAAUCAUUAUUCUCUAUCAAUGAAGAUCUAUAUGAAUAAACCAUUUGUGUCAUUUCAUGUUACCAAACCCUUAGUGAAAUUGAUUCCUAUUCAGCCAUUGAAGAUCUUUUCCAUAUAUUUCUCACCUCUGUAAACCCAGUAUAUAUUCUAGUCAAGUUCAUUGUCCUAAUUUUCUAAUUAAAAUCUUUCACCUCAAAAUUUGCUAAAUCUAUCACAGUUAUUGCUCUUGUUGACAUCGGUGCUAGUUCAUCAAUUUUAGCUAUUAAAGUUUUCCCUAAAGAAUACUAAACUUUCCGUGUUUGAUAUUUCAAUUUUGCCUCAGGAAAUAUUUUAUCUACAAAUGUACAAAUUACGCCAGUAACCAUCUAGUUAUUUCUUUAGUGUUCUAUUACCACUAAAAUCUCUGUAUUCGCUCUUCCCAAUAAAGAUUUGAUUAUUGGUUAGGAUAUCAUGACUCAAAUUUCUCAACUUCAGAUCAGUCGUGGAAAAGACCUCAAGUAUAAAGACAAAUUCUCCCAAUUUGUCAAUAUCCAAAGGCUCUUCUCUAUCCAUAUGGGUUUACUAGAUUCGAUAAUGCAAAAGUUACUUGAAUCAUGCUUAGAAUCACAUUCUGAAUUCUCUCAAAAGUGCCCCAAUCCCUUGUGGAAAAAUCCAAAAUUCUUUAUUUGCAGUCAUUUAAAAAAGAAUGAAGACAUAAAUCCCACUAAGGUGAGUCACAUGAGAAUGAACCCGAAACAUCUAACAUCUACUUAAAAGGAAUGCUCAGAUCUACUACAGUAAGACCUUAUCGAAAUCUUGGACUCUCGGUAGGCCUAUGAAGCUUUUUAUGUCAACAAACCAACUAAGCUGAACAAAGGAAAAAUAUGGCUAGUGAUAAACUACCAACCCCUCAAUCUCUUCCUCUAAGAUGAUAAGUUCCCUAUACCCUUUUGAAAUUCCCUUUUUGCUGGAUUAUCCAAAGCCCACAUUUAUUCCAAGUUUGAUCUCGAAGUCGGAUUUUUGGUAAUUGGGCAUUUAUCUCAAAGACAGGCCCAAGACAAGAUUCUGAUUCCAAAACAGCAUUUCCAAUGGAAGGUUCUUCAUUUUGGCCUCAAAGUAGCCCAUUCAUUGUUUCAAUAGGCCAUAUAUCGUAUCUUUCAAAGGUCAAAUGCAAUAAAAUUAGUAUCAAAACAAAGUUCAGGAAAUGCCAAACAACUUUGCUAAAGCAAUCUUUUCAAAAUAGGCAUCACAUGAAUUUGUAAAAAAUUUGAAACGUGUGAAGGUCGGAUCAGGAAAUCAAAAUUCCAGAAUGUUUGUCAUGGGAACAAAUGGAAAAUGGCACAAGAUUGACAGGCUCCAAGGACAAUUCAUCAUUGCAAGGAUGAUGAUGAGGAACUCGACGGAGCAGAUGCUGCCGCCCCACGUGGGCGAGCUACACGUGAGCAGCACUGGAUCCUGCGCUCUGGAGGAAGGAAGAAGCCUCCUCUCAAUUUCGUACAAGUUUUGGUAAAAAAAAGGGUGGAAUUUAUUAUAUGAAUUCACUAGUUAAUACCAACUGUUUAUUAUCCAACUGCCAACUGUUUAUUGUCCAACUGCCACCGCACCGUCCAGCGCUGCGAAUAUUCCGCACAUUGUUUAUUUAUUUAUUUUUCCUUUUUUUCCUUCGUAUGCGUGAAUUGCGUGAAAACUGUCGGAAGCUCCAUGGGGCUAUGUUGCAGGGACACGUGGCGGAAAAGGGCACAUACUUGGGAGGCCCCUUUUUUACAUUACAGUUAUGUUAGUUGGACCAAGAAGAGGUGGGGGCUGUUAAUUUAAUAAGCGAUUAAUUAAAAUGGAAGCCAAAAAAUGGAGAAUAGUUUUCUAAGCAUGCUCUGUACCGUAGGUCUCUUGGAGAGUAGUUUUACUAAAUCGGUCAUUAAAAUUUUCCUUUGGCAUUACUAUAAUGUGACAAAAUUGGACUGAAUGCUCUUAAAUUUAUAACAGGAUAUUCAUUUGAGUCUUAACCCUUUUAAUUAAAAUUCUUUGGUCUUAAAAUUUUGAGGAAAAAUCUAAUCACGUCUUCUCCGCCACCCCUUACAUGUAGCAAUGACGGAGUGAAGUGGAAUAAUAUUCAACGAGACGAUGGUGAGAUGGGCUUUCUUGAUUGAGCAACUAAAACACCAAAUUAGCCCUAAAUUACAAAGUCCCACUUUGAUCCCUCCCAUUUGAGCACUAUUUCCCAUGAGAAACCCCACCUGUAGUCUUGGCGGCAAAAUUUGGCGAAACGAUGAAGGUGAACUCGUGAUUCUGUAGUGGAAACCACAAAGAGUGGUCGUGUUAAAUUUACAUUGAAGUCUAAUGUCAAAUGCCACGAAAAAGGUAGAGAAUUAGUCAAACAUAUAAACAUUGGUUGCGGUAUCUUAGAGAAUUUGUUAUAUGUUCAUGAUCUAGUUGUGUGUUUGUGUUGAUCUCUUUACAUGUGUGCUAGUGAUCCCCCAACUAAAAAAAGAAAAAAAAGAAAAAAAUGGGUUUAAUAUAGCCUUUAGCAUAAGGUUGAGAUGAACGACAAAUCGGUAUUGGUUUUGCAUUUUCAAGAUUGGAUAUUUUGUCCGAUGCCGAAUGCUUAACUAUGUGCUAGAGUGAGAAGAUGAAUUUAGCGGAUUGCGUCCAUUAAAAAAAACUUCUAUAGUUAGAGAAAAUCUUUUGUAUAAACAACCGGUAAUGUGAGCUGUUAUGUUUGAAUUUUCUCCAACGCGCGGGGCCCCACCACCCCUAUCCAUUUGCGCGUCUUUUGCUUGGCCCAUAAUACCAGUCCACGUUUCAACUCCUGAUUUAAAGGGCGGUUGCAAAGGACACGUGGCGAAAGGGGUUGCCUCCUUGGAGGCCCUUUUUACACUUGCAGUUAUGUUAGUUGAUCCGAGGGAGAGUUGGCCAUCUCUUACUUUAGUCAAAGAAAUUUUACACGCUAAUCACAGCUAAUGGCCAAUAGAUUAGUGACUAAAUUGUCUUCUUCGAGAACCUGCUGACCCCACCAAACGAGAAUUUUGAAACUUUUGAAAGAAGAAGACCUUUGAAUAUUAUUUGUAUAACGUUGGAUUGCAAUUGAUUUAAUGUUGUAUGAAAUGAAUACCAAGUUCUCUUUCUCAAGAGCCUAUGGCAAACAAAAAGUUCUUACCCCUUCUAUUAACAUUGAGCAAUCCUAGUUGCAAAAAAAUUGAUUUUAACAUUGAUUUUGAAGUAAGUGAGUCAUAUAUCGAAACAUGAAUUAAAAAAUAAUCUCAAUCUAUAAACCAAUUUUAAAAGCAAAUCUUUGAAUUUGUGGCUGACGUUGUUUUAAAGAUUCAGAGCAUUUUCGCUUUUUAACAUCUCCAAAUUACUUGAGAAAAAGAGAGGGCCAAACAUUUCAUGACAAACUAGAUAAUACUUUUAGUCAAAGAUAAGUUUGUGAUUCUAGAGGGAAGGGGUAUUGUUAUAUUUUAGCAGGCGAAGCAGAACACACAACUUUCUAUAUCUCAGCGUUGGGCACUUACACAUAUUGAAUUUAGAGGAUGGAAUGUCUAAUGUUGUUUCACCUGAGAAGCAAAUUGGAUUGUUGCAAGCGGAAGAACCGAGCACAUUUCAAAAAGAAUUGAUCCGUUAUCUCGCCAUCUUAUUGAGAAUAAUAAGAGCAUCUUUGACUACCCAAAGUAAGUAUUACUAUUAGGCAAAACGUCUCUUCAGGCCACAUCAAUCGAGUGACAGGCCUAAAAUAGAAGGCUGUGUCAGGGGGUUAGUACCCGUGCUUUGCGGUUCUCUAGUAGAAUAGCUUUACUAAAUCAAUCACGCCCUUUCUUUUGGUCUUCAGCUCUUCAUUGCAGCCAUAGGUUAUGACCAUGUUCAUGCCAUUUUUUUAAUUGCAAGUGUAGAAAGAGUUUUUCCAAUGGGAAAGCAACGAGAAAAUGUGUCUAGAAAGGGUGCACGUGCAGCCCAUGCACGCCCUAUCUCAUCUCCGACUCUACCUCUUUUAGUUUUCUUUAGUGAUUUUUCAUCUAAUCUUUUCCUGGAAUUUUUCUUUUUACGAUCACCUUCUAUCAAUCUUGUAGCCAUGGAGUUUUAUUUUUUUUUCACAGUGCCUCUUCUUCACUACACAAAAAUCAGAAUAUAGAAAAUUUGAGGCUAUUUUUUUUUUCGGUAGUUCUCCAUUGUCUUCAUAUAAUGGGCGAUGAAAAGGAAUCAAAGUUCUCCAUAUUGAAUUUUCUGUGCUUAAAGAAAACUUCCUCAAUUGUAGACACUCAACAAAAGUAGCAUAUACUAACUUGAAAUUUCUUCCAAUAUAUAUCUGUACACAUCACUCAACAAAAGAAAACAAAAAACUUAAGAGACAUCUUUAUCUUCAACCCUUAAAUCAGGGAGAUGAAGGGGAAAAUAAAACCCUCCCCUUUCGAGGCAAAAAAAAAAGCUACCAAUUCCAAUUGUAUCCUGCUCUGUAAUUGCUCGACACACUUAUAAACCAGCCCUAGUUCCAAACACCUAGGCUGCAGAUGGGGCCGUCAAGAAGCGGAAAGCUCCGGCCUCCUCCAACGCCUUGAGGAAUCGAUCCCAUAUGGUUCGCUUAGCCGCUUCAUCUCUUGCAACGAUAUUCUUGUAGUCCAAGGACUCGUCGUCGUAAAUAUCCCACCACUUCUUCACCAGCAUCUUGAUGUCCUCCCGGUCCAUGUUCUCUUCCUCGCCUGUGUACCGCCACGGCUUCGACCCGGCCGCACAAUAAUGGACAACCUUCACCUUGUCCAGCUCGACGUUCUCAGGGUGGCGCCACAACAUCGCAAGCACCAGGUUGUACACGUUAGGAAUCGGUCUGUAGAUGUCCUUGAAAUACAUGUUCAGGAGGUCUUGUUCAGCAAAUGAAGUGGGAGGUGUGAUCUUGAGAGUUUCGAGCAAAUCGUGGUAAGUGUCGAGGUCUGGCUCGUACACAAACAUGCCGGCGUUGAAGUAGAGAGGUGGCUUUGGGCCAACGUGGUCGGGCCAUUGGACCUUGUCGGGGCACUGUUGGCAGUACCCG
rnacentral:lncRNA from 1 species